GCCGAGGUAGCUCAGCCUGGAAGAGCACCACGCUGAAGACGUGGCUGUCCCUUGUUCAAAUCAUGGCCUCGGCACCA
rnacentral:tRNA from 1 species